UACGGAAGGCAGCAGUGGGGAAUAUUGCACAAUGGGCGCAAGCCUGAUGCAGCCAUGCCGCGUGUAUGAAGAAGGCCUUCGGGUUGUAAAGUACUUUCAGUCGUGAGGAAGGUGUUAAGGUUAAUAACCUUAGCAAUUGACGUUAGCGACAGAAGAAGCACCGGCUAACUCCGUGCCAGCAGCCGCGGUAAUACGGAGGGUGCGAGCGUUAAUCGGAAUUACUGGGCGUAAAGGGCACGCAGGCGGUUAAUUAAGUUGGAUGUGAAAUCCCCGGGCUUAACCUGGGAAUGGCAUUCAAGACUGGUUAGCUAGAGUCUUGUAGAGGGGGUAGAAUUCCAUGCGUAGCGGUGAAAUGCGUAGAGAUGUGGAGGAAUACCGGUGGCGAAGGCGGCCCCUGGCAAAGACUGACGCUCAUGUGCGAAAGCGUGGGGAGCAAACAGGGAUUAGAUACC
rnacentral:rRNA from 1 species